rnacentral:rRNA from 1 species
GGGUCAGUAGGUUGGUCGUGCCACCGGUACGUACUGGUCUCACUGAUUCCUCCUUCCUGAAGAACCGUAAUGCCAUUAAUUUGGUGUUGCGGGGAAACAGGACUGUUACUUGGAAAAAAUUAGAGGGUUUAAAGCAAGCUAACGCUUGAAUACAUUAGCAUGGAAUAAUGAAAUAGGACGAUCGAUCCUAUUUUGUUGGUUUCUAGGAUUGACGUA